GCAUGCGUAACCGGAAAAGAGGCAGGCUAGUGCGUUUUCCUCGCAAACGGCGCCAUUUUGUGUUCGGAACUGCCGCAGCGACUGCUGUGUGUGAAGUGGGUAGCGAAGACAGGGCACCCAGGAUGGCAGAGGCUCUGUCAGGAGCAGGCGAUUCGGGAUCUGGCUCGGCGGGUCUCGGCUCCGCCUCUUCGGAGACCGGGACCCGGCGGCUAAGCGAUCUGCGGGUGAUUGACCUCCGGGCCGAGCUGAAGAAGCGGAACCUGGAUACUGGCGGCAAUAAGAGCGUCCUGAUGGACCGACUCAGGAAGGCAAUUGAGGAAGAAGGGGGCGAUCCUGAUGAAAUUGCGAUUGCAUCAGAAGCUACCAGCAAGAAGAUUCCAAAGAGGUAUAUCAAAGGGCGUAAGCCAGAGGAAGAGGGUGCUGAAGAUAAUGGACUAGAGGAAGAUUCUGGAGAUGGACAGGAGGACAAUGAAACAAGUUUGGAUAACUUGCAGGAUAUAGACAUGAUGGAUAUUAGUGUGUUAGAUGAGACUGAAAUAGAUAAUGGCAGUGCUGCUGACUGUGGUGAAGACUACAGUGCUGAUAAUAUUCUUGACUCCUUGUCUGAUAGUAAAGAAAAUGCUGAUGCAGAAUUGAAACAACUUCCAGAUCAGCUUACAGAACAUACUGUGACUGGAGAAAGAGUUGGAAAUAGUUUGGAUGCUUCAUCAUCAGACUUCACUGUAAUACAGGAUACUGAAGAACCACCCUUGGAGCCAGAAAAUGAGAAAAUACUCGACAUUUUGGGGGAAACUUGUAAGUCUGACCCACUAAAAGAAGAAGGUUCCGACCUGGAGCAGCCAUUUUCACAGGAUGCAAGUAGCGUGGGGCCAAGCAAAAAGCUUGCAGAGGAAGAGGACAAUUUUGUCACUGCUCAUCCAGAGGAGGAUGCAUUAGAUUUGGACAACGAGUCAACACAAGCAAUUGCCAAGAAGGCAGAAAAGCACUUAGAUCUAGUGAAAAGGGAGAAAAGCGAGCAGAAAGUAGAUGAAGAGAAUAUGGACUCUGACACUGUAGUGGUAGAGAACCUAAAUGAUCAGAGUAGCAAAGCAUCAGAAAAUGCAGAAGCUUCUAGCGAGGAAGCCCAGGAAACACCAGAGAAAGUCUCAAGCCCCGAAACCAAAGAAAGCAAAGAAGACGUUAAGAAAAGUGAAGAUGAAGGUUAUAAUGAAGAUUCACCUGCUACUAAAGAGUCCUCUACCAAUGAGGGCGGUGAUCAGAAAAUGAGCUCUGUUGAGGACGACACAGAUAUAAAGCCAACCUUAAAGGAUGACAAAGGUCGUGUUAGUAGCAGUUCUGGGAGGAAUUUGUGGGUUAGUGGACUUUCUUCAACUACUAGAGCCACAGACUUGAAGAACCUUUUCAGCAAAUAUGGAAAGGUUGUUGGAGCCAAAGUGGUAACUAAUGCCCGGAGUCCAGGGGCACGGUGUUAUGGUUUUGUUACAAUGUCUACAUCUGAUGAAGCCACAAAAUGUAUUAACCACCUUCACCGAACAGAAUUACAUGGAAGAAUGAUCUCAGUAGAAAAAGCCAAAAAUGAACCUGCUGGAAAGAAACCUGACCGCAAAGACUGUGAAAUUAAAAAGGAAAAAUCAGGCAGCGGGGAAAGACAUCAUUCCACUGAUUCCCGGCCUGAAAGAACUGUGAUUAAGAGUGAGAAAAGAGAUGAUAAAAGGUCUGAAGAUAGGAAAGAUGAAAAAGACUAUGACGAACUGAAAUCUGGGUCAGCAGAUCGUUCUAGAGCCACCAAGUCAGGAAGCAGAGGGACAGAACGAACAGUUGUAAUGGACAAGUCAAAGGGGGAACCUGUCAUUAGUGUGAAAACCACAACCAGAUCUAAAGAGCGGAGCUCCAAAAGUCAAGAUCGAAAAUCAGAAAGCAAAGAAAAGAGAGAUAUUUUGUCGUUUGAUAAAAUCAAAGAACAACGGGAGCGGGAACGACAGAGGCAGCGGGAACGAGAAAUCAGAGAAACUGAAAGGCGUAGAGAACGAGAGCAGCGGGAACGGGAGCAGCGCAUUGAUGCCUUUCGAGAACGGAAAGAGAAAGCCAGGCUUCAGCGGGAACGUGUGCGACUUGAAUGUCAGAGGCAGCGUCUUGAGCGAGAGCGAAUGGAGAGGGAGAGACUAGAAAGGGAGAGAAUUCGUGUAGAACAAGAAAGGAGAAAAGAACAGGAACGGAUCCAUAGGGAGAGAGAGGAGCUUCGGCGCCAGCAGGAACAGUUACGCUAUGAACAGGAGCGACGGCCUGCUCUGAGAAGACCUUAUGAUGUAGAUUCAAGAAGAGAUGAUUCAUAUUGGCCAGAAGGAAAACGAGCUGCUCUGGAUGACAGAUACCGAUCUGAAUUUAGCCGACAAGACCGUUUUCAUGAUUUUGACCACAGGGACCGAAGCCGAUACCAGGACCAUUCAAUAGACAGCACUAUGCAGAUGAUCGCCAUGGAGGACCAGAGCGCCAUGGGCGGGACUCACGAGAUGGCUGGGGCAGUUAUGGUUCUGACAAGAGAAUGAGUGAGGGAAGGGGGAUGCCUCCUCCACCACCCAGGGGUGGCCGUGAGUGGGGAGAUCAUACUCAAAGGAUAGAGGAUCAUCAGGAUCGUUCUUGGCAGGGCAACGUGGAUGGAGGAAUGAUGGGCCGAGAUCAUGAGAGGUGGCAAGGUGGUGAGAGAGGCAUGUCUGGUCACUCAGGACCAGGCCAUAUGGUGAAUCGGGGAGGAAUGUCGGGGUAAGAAGUUUUGUCCGACGAUAGUUGAUAUGUUCCUGCUUCUUCACUUGCUCUCCCUUUUAAACACGCAAUCUCUCUUUUGCAUGUUAGUUCAACUUGCUUGGUUGAAUGUUUUGAAAACAAAUCAGAUAUUUCCAACUUAUGCAAAUAACCUUCUUCAGUUUCCUGGAAUUCAGUGUGUGUUUGUAGUGCUUUUCUCAUCUGGUGCAUCUGAUCAAGAGGGGAAAAAAAUCAAGAGAGAUGUAAAUGCUGCAGAAUCGUACUGAACAAUGUUGCAAUGAAAACUUAAAAAAAAAACACUUCAAGGAAAACAGUUUGAAUUUGUUCCUAGGCGUGGCGGCUUUGCGCAAGGUGGAAACUCCCAGGGCCACAUGAUGCAGGGUGGUGCAAUGCCAGGCAGAGGAUUUGGAGGACAGGACAGAGCCAACAGAGGCAGUCACCCUCACUUCACCCGCCGAUAUUAAAUAGUAACUUGUUGUUUUGGUGUUAGGUGGCGGCAGUAUUGAGUUCUUUUAGCCAGGGUUCUCUUGGACUUGUGGGUCUUUUUUUGAAACUGCCACCAUAUUGUAGCUCAAUACAAUGUGAACUCACUUGGGUUUUUUUGUAAUAAAUGUGUUUUUGUUCAUACCAUUUCUUUAAAGAGUUUCUGUUAAUGAAGCAUUCCAUUUUCCAUUAAUAAAAGUUUACAGUUACUGC